GCGGAUGAUUGAAUAGAAGAGAAAGCUACUCUGUGCUUAUAACACAGGGUUGUGUUUGUCCCUUCUUCUCUUCCAGCUGAAUGGUCACCAGGUCACGGAAUUCCACCGGGAAUGGGAAGAUCCUCUGGAGUAGCACGCAAAGUCCUGCUAUCUGCAUUCUGUGGUUGGAGUGAGUUGGGUCAGCCCACCAAUGUAUUUCCUCAUUAGACAUUGACAAACAUGGAAGAAAAACAGUGGAAGAAUUAGAAGAGAAUAUGGAAGCAGAAUGUGAUCUGGAGUCAUGUUUAGUGACCACAGCAGCACCAUCGUGGCUCACUGGUUUCAUACUCCUUGACUCGGUAUUCAGCUCCAAUUUUCGUUCUCUUUAAUUGAAAGAACUGCAUGGUUCACACAGACCUGGAAAUACAACCAUUAGAAUUAAAUUACCACGCAAGAGUGCCCUGAUGAGCUUCACAAAGACGUAGAACCCAUGUGCUUUUGGAGUUGUUUUAGCACCCCGUUUGGAGCCAAACAGUCUCACAACUCCCAUGAUGACAUCAGCUUUUUUUACACCUCUUAAAGUAACAACAUGAGUUUUGUCUUCCAAAGGGUAAUUUUGAUUUCUUACAAAGCUUUUGCAAAAUUAUGGAAUUUCUGAGUUCUAGAACCAUGUAGUCAUCAUUGAAGCAUGUAGAACACAACACUAGGAAAAAUGGAAAGGCUCCUUAUUGGAGGGAUGGGCUGAAGAACAAGGACGGUGUCAAGAUGGGCAUUUUUUCUGUGCAUAGCGAAUUGGGAGGCAAAGAAAACUGCUGAAAAAAAUUGACGAUGCACCUUAAGUUGAAAAGCUGACUUCCACCUCCUGGGCAACGUGGCUCGGGGUUGUGCUCAGCUAAGACAAAACUGAUGUCAACACCAGGAAUGAAGGACAAAUCUGUGGCUUAAUGAAGGCACUUCUCCUUCCUGCCAUCAUGUGAAGAAGGAUGUGUUUACUCCCUCUUCUGCUGUGAUUGUAAGUGUCCUGAGGCCACCCUUGCCAUGGGGAACUGUAAGCAUGACGCAUUAACCUAUACCAUGGCCUGGCUAGGACCCAACCCAGUACCAGAAAUGAAGGCACUGACCCUACAGUAUCCGCAGCCCCAGAAGAUGUGGCUUCCACGGACGACAUAAGCUCUGGAUGUUACCUAGGAGAUGCUGAAGAAGACAACUCAGGAGGCUGAAUGAAUGCUGCUCCAGACACAGACACCAUUCACUCCAGAUAAUUUGCUCCUUGCUAUGCUUUCUGUUGUUCGUUGCAACUCAUGUAGGAUAUCGAUCCUUUUUAUGCUUUUGCUUUGUCUGCAACCUGUACCUGCUAUACUCUAUUGGGCUCAUGUCUUAGAUCUGCUUUUCUUUCACCCUGUCACCUGGGCAGACACCCCCUGCCCAGCCUUUAAUAAUGUGACUCCUUGGCUAGAAGGGAUAGAUUUGCCCGCAGUGGGGUCCCUCAGUCAUGGCACACAUUAAGUUGCCAGAUAAUACUACAUUAUCAUCCCACUGUGUAAGCUAUAAAGGUUCUAAUCCUUAUUGUGUACCUGCCCAAACACAAUUAAGGCUAUAUUAUAGCUAUUAUAGCAAAAAAAAAAAA
ensembl:lncRNA